UAACCUAAUACUGGCUCUAGGUUCGUCAUGUGUAGCAUAGGUGGGAGACGUUGAUGUCGGAGGCGCCAGCCUUCGAAUAGUCACCGGUGAAAUACCACUCUUGGCGUAUUUGGAGUCUAACCUGUGACCGUUAUCCGGCAUGGGAACAGUGUUAGGCGGGCAGUUUGACUGGGGCGGUCGCCUCCUAAAGAGUAACGGAGGCGCGCGAUGGUAGGCUCAGGACGGUUGGAAACCGUCUGCGAGAGUGCAAUGGCAUAAGCCUGCCUGACUGCGAGACCGACAGGUCGAGCAGAGACGAAAGUCGGUCAUAGUGAUCCGGUGGUCCCUCGUGGAAGGGCCAUCGCUCAACGGAUAAAAGGUACGCCGGGG
rnacentral:rRNA from 1 species